CGAACCCCCAGUGCCGCCCCCCUCUCCCCCUCCUCACGACCCCUUCCCAGCACACCUCCUCCACUCUCCACUGCUCCCUUCCACCUCUAGAUCUCCUCCAUUGCAGCAAGGAUCGAGAAGAGAAGGAGAAAGAUGGAUUGAAGAGGAAGAGAGGAUCGAGGAGAUAUGCUAGAUCGGUGCAAAGGUGACUCUGAACCAGUCAGGGAUGGUGUUGCAGGGAUCCGCAAGCAAGAUGAAGGAUAAAGCACAAGAGCAGCUUGAUGGUGCAUCGGUGGCAGAAGAUGGAGAUGCAAUGGCUUUGGACUAGUUCAUAUAAAAGAUGUGUCAUCACUAGCAACUUAGCAAGUGUUGUUCGCCCCAUAACUAUUUGGAUAGUAACAAUGAUGGAUGUAAGGGAGACUUUUGGUUGCCCAGUAACGUAAGCUUGUGGAGACUUUUAUUUAGCUAGUGAUCAUCCUGACUCUUGAGAAAAAUGUAUGUCUAAACUUUGUUAAAUGCUGCUUGGUCUUUGUAUGGAUGUGGUCAGCCUUUUGUAUCAGUUUAUCUUCUCCAA